CAGCAGCCGCGGGAAUACAGAGGAUGCAAGCGUUAUCCGGAAUGAUUGGGCGUAAAGCGUCUGUAGGUGGCUUUUCAAGUCCGCCGUCAAAUCCCAGGGCUCAACCCUGGACAGGCGGUGGAAACUACCAAGCUGGGGUACGGUAGGGGCAGAGGGAAUUUCCGGUGGAGCGGUGAAAUGCGUCGAGAUCGGAAAGAACACCAACGGCGAAAGCACUCUGCUGGGCCGACACUGACACUGAGAGACGAAAGCUAGGGGAGCAAAUGGGAUUAGAUACCCCGGUAGUCCCUGUCUAUUAUAC
rnacentral:rRNA from 1 species